rnacentral:rRNA from 1 species
CUUGAUCUUGAUAUCCUACGUGGAUAACUGUGGUAAUUCUAGAGCUAAUACAUGCACCAAAGCUCCGAAUUUUUGACGAGCGCAUCUAUUAGAUUAAAACCAAUCGGGUUUCCGCCCGUUUGUUGGUGACUCUGAAUAACUAUGGCUGAUCGCAUGGUCUAGAACCGGCGACGUGUCUAUCAAGUGUCUGCCUUAUCAACUGUCGAUGGUAGUUUAUGUGCCUACCAUGGUUGUAACGGGUAACGGAGAAUAAGGGUUCGACUCCGGAGAGGGAGCCUGAGAAACGGCUACCACAUCCAAGGAAGGCAGCAGGCGCGCAAAUUACCCACUCUCGGCAUGAGGAGGUAGUGACGAAAAAUAACGAGACCGUUCUCUAUGAGGCCGGUUAUCGGAAUGGGUACAAUUUAAACCCGUUAACGAGGAUCUAUGAGAGGGCAAGUCUGGUGCCAGCAGCCGCGGUAAUUCCAGCUCUCAAAGUGUAUAUCGUCAUUGCUGCGGUUAAAAAGCUCGUAGUUGGAUCUGCGCCUCAGGACUUGGUCCGCCCACUGGGUGAGAACUGGGCUCCUGGGCUAGUUCUGCUGGUUUUCCCUACGUUGCCUUCAUCGGUAGCGUAGGGUGGCUAGCGAGUUUACUUUGAAAAAAUUAGAGUGCUUCACGCGGGCUUAUGUCUGAAUACUCGUGCAUGGAAUAAUAGAAUAGGAUCUCGGCUCUAUUUUGUUGGUUUUCUGAUCUGAGAUAAUGGUUAAGAGGGACGGACGGGGGCAUUCGUAUCGCUGCGUGAGAGGUGAAAUUCUUGGACCGUAGCGAGACGUCCGACUGCGAAAGCAUUUGCCAAGAAUGUCUUCAUUAAUCAAGAACGAAAG